GUGCCGAGGAGAUCAAGGAGAUGAAUGAGAGUGGUGAGUUGAGGAAGCUGAUUGGUGGGUUACCGUUUGUAGAAAACAGUAUUGGUUGUGAUCUUUGUGGAGGGCUGAGAUUUGUUGUCUGUGAACANAAUGGUAGCCACAAGAUCUACUCUGAGAAGUGUGGAUUUAAGACCUGCUCAUCUUGCAAUGUGAACGGUCUGAGUAGAUGCGCCCUGUGUUAUCCCGUGAACCGGCGACGCUUGUCAGUGUAACCCUCAAUCCACAAUAAGAAAUAUAGAAAUAAAAUAAUAGAAUUAGAAUUUGCU
rnacentral:misc_RNA from 1 species